GUGCUCGCUUCAGUAGCACAUACUCCAAAACUGGAGCCAUAUACAGAAGAUUAGCAUGGUUUGGCUCCUGCGCAAGAAUGACACUCAAAUUCAUUAAGUGUUCUGUAUUAAA
rfam:Callithrix jacchus chromosome 5, whole genome shotgun sequence